rnacentral:rRNA from 1 species
CGCUUGGCCGCUGACAGUAUAUCGCCAACAGCGAGUGAUGAUCGUUUACGGCGUGGACUACCAGGGUAUCUAAUCCUGUUCGCUCCCCACGCUUUCGUCCCUCAGCGUCAGUUACAUGUUAGUAAGCUGCCUUCGCAAUCGGUGUUCUGAGUCAUAUCUAUGCAUUUCACCGCUACAUGACUCAUUCCGCCUACUUCAUUUGUACUCAAGGUCUCCAGUAUCAAUGGCAGUUCGACAGUUGAGCUGUCGGCUUUCACCACUGACUUAAAGACCCGCCUACGGACCCUUUAAACCCAAUGAAUCCGGAUAACGCUUGGAUCCUCCGUAUUACCGCGGCUGCUGGCACGGAGUUAGCCGAUCCUUAUUCGUAUGGUACCGUCAGUUAUCUACACGUAGAUAAGUUUCUUCCCAUAUAAAAGAAGUUUACAACCCAUAGGGCCGUCAUCCUUCACGCGGCAUGGCUGGGUCAGAGUUGCCUCCAUUGCCCAAUAUUCCUCACUGCUGCCUCCCGUAGGAGUCUGGUCCGUGUCUCAGUACCAGUGUGGGGGGUCACCCUCUCAGGCCCCCUACCCAUCGUUGCCUUGGUGAGCCGUUACCUCACCAACAAGCUAAUGGGACGCAUGCCCAUCUCAUACCGAAAUUCUUUAAUCACAGAAACAUGCGAAUCUGUGAUACUAUGGAGCAUUAAUCCUCGUUUCCAAGGGCUAUUCUCCAGUAUGAGGUAGGUUGCAUACGCGUUACGCACCCGUGCGCCGGUCGUCAGCGGAAGCAAGCUUCCCUGUUACCCCUCGACUUGCAUGUGUUAAGCCUGCCGCUAGCGUUCAUCCUGAGCCAGGAUCAAACUCU